UCACUUACCUGGAUGGUGUCAAUGGGCGAUCAAGAAGGUCCAUGGCCUAGGUUAGUGAUCUCCGUUGCACUUUGGAAUGGUGCCUGCCUAAGGUUGGCCCAAGUGGUCGAGCCUACAUCAUAAUUUGUGGCAGUGGAGGCCUGUGUCCGCGCGGCCCCUAC
rnacentral:snRNA from 1 species